rnacentral:rRNA from 1 species
AUUGAACGCUGGCGGCAUGCCUUACACAUGCAAGUCGAACGGCAGCACGGGUGCUUGCACCUGGUGGCGAGUGGCGAACGGGUGAGUAAUACAUCGGAACAUGUCCUGUAGUGGGGGAUAGCCCGGCGAAAGCCGGAUUAAUACCGCAUACGAUCCACGGAUGAAAGCGGGGGACCUUCGGGCCUCGCGCUAUAGGGUUGGCCGAUGGCUGAUUAGCUAGUUGGUGGGGUAAAGGCCUACCAAGGCGACGAUCAGUAGCUGGUCUGAGAGGACGACCAGCCACACUGGGGCUGAGACACGGCCCAGACUCCUACGGGAGGCAGCAGUGGGGAAUUUUGGACAAUGGGCGAAAGCCUGAUCCAGCAAUGCCGCGUGUGUGAAGAAGGCCUUCGGGUUGUAAAGCACUUUUGUCCGGAAAGAAAUCCUUGACUCUAAUACAGUCGGGGGAUGACGGUACCGGAAGAAUAAGCACCGGCUAACUACGUG